rnacentral:rRNA from 1 species
GGGCCCGCACAAGCAGCGGAGCAUGUGGUUUAAUUCGAAGCAACGCGAAGAACCUUACCCAGACUUGACAUCUCCUGAAUUAAUCGUAAUGGAUGAAAUCCCUUCGGGGACAGGAAGACAGGUGGUGCAUGGUUGUCGUCAGCUCGUGUCGUGAGAUGUUGGGUUAAGUCCCGCAACGAGCGCAACCCUUACCAUUAGUUGCUACCAUUAAGUUGAGCACUCUAGUGAGACUGCCCGGGUUAACCGGGAGGAAGGCGGGGAUGACGUCAAAUCAUCAUGCCCCUUAUGUCUAGGGCUACACACGUGCUACAAUGGUGAGAACAACGAGAUGCAAUACCGUGAGGUGGAGCUAAACUUGAAAACUCAUCCCAGUUCGGAUUGCAGGCUGAAAUUCGCCUGCAUGAAGUUGGAGUUGCUAGUAAUCGCGAAUCAGAAUGUCGCGGUGAAUACGUUCCCGGGCCUUGUACACACCGCCCGUCACACCAUGAGAGCUGGUAACACCCGAAGUCCGUGAGGUAACCUCUAUGGGGCCAGCGGCCGAAGGCGGGAUUAGUGAUUGGGGUGAAGUCGUAACAAGGUAGCCGUAGGAGAACCUGCGGCUGGAUCAC